rnacentral:rRNA from 1 species
CUAUAAUGCAGUCGAGCGAACAGAUAAGGAGCUUGCUCCUUUGAAGUUAGCGGCGGACGGGUGAGUAACACGUGGGUAACCUACCUAUAAGACUGGGAUAACUUCGGGAAACCGGAGCUAAUACCGGAUAAUAUUUAGAACCGCAUGGUUCUAAAGUGAAAGAUGGUUUUGCUAUCACUUAUAGAUGGACCCGCGCCGUAUUAGCUAGUUGGUAAGGUAACGGCUUACCAAGGCGACGAUACGUAGCCGACCUGAGAGGGUGAUCGGCCACACUGGAACUGAGACACGGUCCAGACUCCUACGGGAGGCAGCAGUAGGGAAUCUUCCGCAAUGGGCGAAAGCCUGACGGAGCAACGCCGCGUGAGUGAUGAAGGGUUUCGGCUCGUAAAACUCUGUUAUUAGGGAAGAACAAAUGUGUAAGUAACUGUGCACAUCUUGACGGUACCUAAUCAGAAAGCCACGGCUAACUACGUGCCAGCAGCCGCGGUAAUACGUAGGUGGCAAGCGUUAUCCGGAAUUAUUGGGCGUAAAGCGCGCGUAGGCGGUUUCUUAAGUCUGAUGUGAAAGCCCACGGCUCAACCGUGGAGGGUCAUUGGAAACUGGGAAACUUGAGUGCAGAAGAGGAAAGUGGAAUUCCAUGUGUAGCGGUGAAAUGCGCAGAGAUAUGGAGGAACACCAGUGGCGAAGGCGACUUUCUGGUCUGUAACUGACGCUGAUGUGCGAAAGCGUGGGGAUCAAACAGGAUUAGAUACCCUGGUAGUCCACGCCGUAAACGAUGAGUGCUAAGUGUUAGGGGGUUUCCGCCCCUUAGUGCUGCAGCUAACGCAUU